UCAGGACAAAUACAUCAAUCAAAUGUUUUAAGGCAAUCACGUAUAUACAUACAUUUAAAAACAUAUGCUCAAACAUUCAGAAACUAUGGAAAAACAAAUAUAAGUUUGGGUCCCAGUUUUCCUGGGAGAAGGGUAGGGUUAUAAAUGCUGUAAAUAAAUAAGUUGACAAUAAACCUUGCUGUGAAGAAUCAGUAGGACUUCUGUAAAUGGAAACCCUGCCUCUCCAACUUUUUCGUCUCAACCAAGAUGGGAGUGGGAUAAAUCAGUAGACAUUGUAUUCUAGGAUUUCCAAGAAGCGUUUGCAAAGUCACUCACCAAAGCUUCCUGAGUACUCAUGGAAAAAGAGGAAAGAUCCUCUUAUUACAAUACCAACAGCAACCAAAAGCAGGCAAAAAUGUUACUGAAGUUGUCAGCUUUCAGUUUUGUGUGGUAGGCUUUACGGGAUCCUUGUUUGCUCAUGGACCUCUCUGUCAACAGUGAAACUGUUGGAUCAGACUAGGAGUCGAGCAAGAGAACCUCCAGGAGAUAAAG